rnacentral:lncRNA from 1 species
UGAGUAACAUACUUUUUUUAUUGCAUUCUUUUAUUUGAUCUAUAUAUCUGUUUUAAUAACAGCUCUGUUGUGUACGUGUGUGUGACGUAGGACGUAGGAGGGGAAAAAGUAAAAAGAUGGCGACGAAGUAAAAGACACUUAUCUGAAAGCGGAGCCUCCUGUCUUUACUUUUCCACUGUCUAGGCUGGAUUAAGGGCAGGACAGAACAAUGGCUACGAGGAUUUAAAUUUCAAGGACGUUGUCUAGCUCGAAAAGUAGGUAGUUGCGGUGAGAUGAAGCUGCAGUUCCCAAGUUUGAGUGCUAUAAAGACCCAGCCACGUUAGGACCGCGAUAGACGAGAUGGCUGGCGGCAUUUGAAUUGUUUGCAGACGGCAAAGGGCUGAUACUAGAGGAAAACGCGGCAAACGCAACCAAACAAAGGGGGAGAGCUCUACUGCUACACCAUGCGGGUACGGAUGUACAAGAUAUCUUUUCAACGUUGGAAGACACCGGAGACCCCACGGACUACGACAAAGCCGUGGAGGCGCUGAAUUCAUACUUCGUACCCAAAGUGAACACUGCGUUCGCGAGGCAAGCAUUCUACCACCUGUCGCAAAAUAAAGGUGAGACAAUACUGCAGUUUGCUACUCGACUUAGACAAGCAGCAAAAGACUGUGACUUUGCAGCUGAUAAAGACAACCAAAUUAGAGAUGCAGUGCUGAGUAAAUGCAGCUCUGAAUAUGUGAAGAGGAAGCUGCUGGAAGAAGGCGUGGCAUUAACACUUUCACGUACUCUUGAAAUAGCAACACAAUGUGAAAGAGUUGAGUUACAGUUAUCCGCCAUGCGUCCAUUACAAGACGACAAGGAGAAAGAAACUGUAAACAGAGUAAUGCAGAUGCCUAAACCGCAACAAAGGCAAUGGAAGAAACCAAACACAGAAAAAGAGAAGGUGUGCUUCAGGUGUGGUCGGAGAGAUCAUUUCGCAAAAGAUGCUGCAUGUCCAGCAAAGGGGAAAGCUUGCAGAAAAUGCAAUGGAAAAAAUCACUUUGCAAAGAUGUGUAAAUCAAGAACGACAAAAGAAGCAGUCAAAUAUGUGAAAUCAGCGGAAACUAAAGAAUAUGCAUUCGCUGUGGGAGGCACAGAAGACAAUAAAAUACAUGUUUCUGUGGGGGGAGUCGGCUUGAAAAUGCUGAUAGACUCGGGUGCCUCAAUAAACAUACAGCUGGACAUCGUGCUGGGCAGUAGGUCAGCUAACCAGAUGACUGGGGCGCUGUAUUGGAACGGAACUGGUUUAUGAACCAGAGUUCUUUUGGUGGAAUAGCCCUAUUUGGGUUCAGG